rnacentral:rRNA from 1 species
UAAUGUCUGGGAAACGUGCCUGAUGGAGGGGGAUAACUACUGGAAACGGUAGCUAAUACCGCAUAAUGUCGCAAGACCAAAGUGGGGGACCUUCGGGCCUCAUGCCAUCAGAUGUGCCCAGAUGGGAUUAGCUAGUAGGUGGGGUAACGGCUCACCUAGGCGACGAUCCCUAGCUGGUCUGAGAGGAUGACCAGCCACACUGGAACUGAGACACGGUCCAG